UACACUAUAUAGUAAUUUUGUAAAACUAUUGUAGUAUAAGAAUUUUGUAAUACAAAAAAUAUUCUCUUAAUAAUUCAUGAAGAUAAUUCAAAGUAUAUCAAUGUUUAACGUGAGCUGUUGUAUCCACCAUAUACAAAAUUAUCCAUGAACUUUUCCUCGAUUUUCUCAAGUAAAAUCACUUUGAAUAAUUUCUUGUCUUGAUAAAUUUGUUGCAGGAAAGCGAUGGUGAGUUCGUCUCGUGUAAAGACAAAGACAGUCGUAAAUCCAAGUGUCCGUGUUUACGAGACAACGUCGGCUGCACGAGUGAUUGUCGCUGUCGUCAUUGCGGCAACAUCUAUAACUCUCCUGAUGAUCUCCCUGGCAAGAGACAACCUGAAGACGAACCAGCCGCGUUUAAAGGGAAAGCGAAACGCAGGCGAAGCAACCCUCAGGUUAGUUCAUCAUAAUCUACACACGCCGUAAAAACGCACAAGUUGUUACAGGUCUGCAAAUAAGUUGUUGCAACUCUGUUCACAAGUUUUCAACAACUUGUAUUCGCACUGCUUGUUCCCAGUUGUUGGAACAAGUUUGGAACAGGCUCUGUUAACAACUUGUAACAAGCUUGAUGGC